rnacentral:lncRNA from 7 species
ACAUCCUUGCUGUUAUUCCUUACUUGACUUUCUGCUUUCUGCACUGUUCCUAUAUUACCUGGAUUCCCAGGAGUUUCCUAACACUAGCUUUCCAUGAUGACCGAAGUGAACAAAAGCUAAGGUUGCUGUUCGAAGUUGAGCAAUAGGAUGCACUGACUUUUUAGGUUCACCGCUAACUGAACGCAACUAUAGAGUCAAAAAGAGAGGCUGAGAGGCUGAGGAAAGACUGAAAGAGAGCUCUUAGUCCAGCUGGAGUCAAUGAAGAGAGAGAGUCAUUGCCAGAGAGUGAUAAAGGGUGCAGCUAACUCAAACUGUGUUGAAAUGGGGAUUGAUGCCGUGAUGGAAACAAUCAAGUGGAGCGGCUCACACUGCAGCCGAUUUCAAAGGCAUUCCUUUUCCAGGCCAUCAGCCGCUGCAGCCACACGGGAAGCGUUUCCUGAUUUUACCACUACUGAGCAGCAGCCUGAUGGUGUUUAUGUAUUCAGGACCCCACCGGUGAGGAGACCUGCUGCCCCAGCACACCAGAAGCGCCAUCAGGAGGAAUUGGUACAAUUGACAAUGGAGCUGUUCACAGCACUGGGGCUGUGAGUCCAUCAAGCAUCCUCUCUAUUAUGUUUAUUGCUCAUUACUCAGUUUUAAAGAGGCCCUUUUUUAUCCCGGAGAAUUUAAC